UACGUAGGGGGCUAGCGUUGUCCGGAUUUAUUGGGCGUAAAGAGCGUGUAGGCGGCCAUGUAGGUCCGGUGUGAAAACUCGAGGCUUAACCUCGAGAUGUCAUCGGAAACCAUUUGGCUAGAGUCCGGAAGAGGAGAGUGGAAUUCCUGGUGUAGCGGUGAAAUGCGCAGAUAUCAGGAAGAACACCGGUGGCGAAGGCGGCUUUCUGGACAGUAACUGACGCUGAGGCGCGAAAGCUAGGGGAGCAAACAGG
rnacentral:rRNA from 1 species